rnacentral:rRNA from 1 species
UAGGGAAUUUUCCGCAAUGGGCGCAAGCCUGACCCAGCGACGCCGCGUGGAGGACGAAGCCCUUCGGGGUGUAAACUCCUUUAAGCAGGGACGAACGCAGACGGUACCUGCAGAAUAAGCCCCGGCUAACUACGUGCCAGCAGCCGCGGUAAUACGUAGGGGGCGAGCGUUGCCCGACUUUACUGGGCGUAAAGCGCACGUAGGCGGCUCCGUAAGUCUGGGGUGAAAUCUCACGGCUCAGCCGGGAGG